CCUGCUCAGACUGGCCGUGGCGCUUCCCGACCGGUUUUGCUCAGCCGACAUUAUCUUACUACUUGGAUAACCGUGGUAAUUCUAGAGCUAAUACAUGCUAAAAACCUCGACUUCGGAAGGGGUGUAUUUAUUAGAUAAAAAACCAAUGCCCUUCGGGGCUCCUUGGUGAUUCAUGAUAACUUAACGAAUCGCAUGGCCUUGCGCCGGCGAUGGUUCAUUCAAAUUUCUGCCCUAUCAACUUUCGAUGGUAGGAUAGUGGCCUACCAUGGUAUCAACGGGUAACGGGGAAUUAGGGUUCUAUUCCGGAGAGGGAGCCUGAGAAACGGCUACCACAUCCAAGGAAGGCAGCAGGCGCGCAAAUUACCCAAUCCCGACACGGGGAGGUAGUGACAAUAAAUACUGAUACAGGGCUCUUUUGGGUCUUGUAAUUGGAAUGAGUACAAUUUAAAUACCUUAACGAGGAACAAUUGGAGGGCAAGUCUGGUGCCAGCAGCCGCGGUAAUUCCAGCUCCAAUAGCGUAUAUUAAAGUUGUUGCAGUUAAAAAGCUCGUAGUUGAACCUUGGGCCUGGCUGGCCGGUCCGCCUCACCGCGUGUACUGGUCCGGCCGGGCCUUUCCUUCUGGGGAUCCUCAUGCCCUUCACUGGGUGUGCUGGGGAACCAGGACUUUUACUUUGAAAAAAUUAGAGUGUUCAAAGCAGGCCUUUGCUCGAAUACAUUAGCAUGAAUAAUAGAAUAGGACGUGCGGUCCUAUUUUGUUGUUUCUAGGACCGCCGUAAUGAUUAUAGGGAUAGUCGGGGGCAUCAGUAUUCAAUUGUCAGAGGUGAAUCUGAUUUAUGAAGACUACUACUGCGAAGCAUUGCCAGGAUGUUUUCAUAUCAGUGACGAAAGUUAGGGAUCGAAAGACGAUUCAGAUAC
rnacentral:rRNA from 1 species